UACAGAGGCCUCGAGCGUUAGGCGGAAUCACUGGGCUUAAAGCGUGUGUAGGCGGAGUUCUAAGUACCUUGUGAAAUCCCACGGCUCAACCGUGGAACUGCUUGGUAUACUGGUUCUCUUGAGGUACCUAGGGGCGAGCGGAACAAGUGGUGGAGCGGUGAAAUGCGUAGAUAUCACUUGGAACGCCAACGGUGAAAACAGCUCGCUAGGACGGUACUGACGCUGAGACGCGAAAGCGUGGGGAGCGAACAGG
rnacentral:rRNA from 1 species